GAUGAACGCUAGCUACAGGCUUAACACAUGCAAGUCGAGGGGCAGCAUUCUUGUAGCAAUACAAGAGAUGGCGACCGGUGCACGGGUGAGUAACACGUAUCCAACCUGCCUUCAACUCGGGGAUAGCCUUUCGGAAGAAAGAUUAAUACCCGAUGGCAUAGCAAUUCCGCAUGGUGUUGCUAUUAAAGAAUUUCGGUUGAAGAUGGGGAUGCGUUCCAUUAGAUUGUUGGCGGGGUAACGGCCCACCAAGUCGACGAUGGAUAGGGGUUCUGAGAGGAAGGUCCCCCACAUUGGAACUGAGACACGGUCCAAACUCCUACGGGAGGCAGCAGUGAGGAAUAUUGGUCAAUGGGCGAGAGCCUGAACCAGCCAAGUAGCGUGAAGGAUGACCGCCCUAUGGGUUGUAAACUUCUUUUGUGUGGGAAUAAAGUGAGCCACGUGUGGCUUUUUGUAUGUACCAUACGAAUAAGGAUCGGCUAACUCCGUGCCAGCCGCCGCCGUAA
rnacentral:rRNA from 1 species